UACGAAGGGGGGCUAGCGUUGUUCGGAAUUACUGGGCGUAAAGGGCGCGUAGGCGGUGCCUCAAGUCAGGCGUGAAAGCCCCGGGCUCAACCUGGGAACCGCGCUUUGAGACUGGAGUACUAGAGUUCGGGAGAGGAUGGUGGAAUUCCCAGUGUAGAGGUGAAAUUCGUAGAUAUUGGGAAGAACACCGAUGGCGAAGGCAGCCAUCUG
rnacentral:rRNA from 1 species